CUGGUAGUCCCGGAGAGUGACUGAUCUAGUUCUAGGAAAAGGGCACUGUCACUUGAGCUGCUUUAAAUGCUGUCAUAUCUAAACAUGCUCUUCUUCUGGUCACUGGCAUUUUGGUUAUUAAAAGCUCUGUGCAUGAAGCUCAGUGAAUACCAUGGGGACAAGGUUAGAAAAACGAUCCAAUAGCCAGCACCAGGCACUGUCCUGUGCUUGAAGAGCUUGUUCCAAGGAGAGCUCUGGCACUACAGUACCUGUCUUUUGGGUGUCCAGGGCCCCAACCAGGAGCCCAAGCCCAGAGCUGUCCCUGGGGCUCCCUGCACAGGUCAUGGGGAGGCUGAUGGAAACACAUUGCACUCUGCCAUGGAGGAGACCAGAGUGGGAAACAUGCUUCAGGGGUGUAUCUGAAAUCCAGCCUCUCUGGGCAAUCUCUGACUUCCAUUCACAUGCAGAAGUCAGACGAUGACAAUAAUUCCAAGACAAUUCUGGUAUAAAUACUGUGAGCCCAGCUGACCAUGGGUGGAAUGGAGGGGAGAGGUAAGGAGCUGACAUUCAUUCAGACUUAGAAUGAAAAAUACUCCAAGCAAAAUUAUCCGGACUGUUGCUUAUGGCGGUUCAGUUUUCAUGCUGAAAAUACUUUUGUGUAGUGAGCUUAGCCAAACACUACACAGCCUCUCCAUCGAGUAGUGCUACUCCCACCACUGAGAGGAGCCUGGAGCCCACUGGGACUAGAAGCAAAGCACAGCACAGCCAGGAGAGACAGAAUGAGAGAAAUCUCUGAAAACAGGCAUUCCUGCACAGCAGUACUGUGUGGGCAUUGUGUUGGAGUGCUGACAUUCCCCAGAGAGGAGAGGGAAAUAGAUUCCACCUCACUUUCUGCAAGUCCUUAUGAUGUGAGUUUCCUUGCCUUGUGUUCAGUGAGCAGGAACUGAGACAGACACUCGUGAGCACCAGUGAAGUGUGAGCAUGGAGCACUGUCAAGGACUGUUGAGUUUGUGGCCCAAUGCAAACCACACCCUCAGCUCUGCUUUUUAGAGCAGCAGCAUCAACCUUGUAACCUGUCUAGUUAGAAGGAAAUUCCACAGCUGCUAUCUCCUGCUUAGGUCCUCUGCUCCUUCUACCCUGGACCUCCUAGCUAGUUGCAAUGACAGGAGAAGAUGCAUGGAUGCAAGUCACUGGCCUGGCCUCCUCUUCAGACCUGUUGGUGUUCUUUUCUGCCCAGAGAGAAGCAAGCAAAGUCAACCCAGUUGGACCAUGUGGGAAUCAACAAGUAAAGUUCAGGAAGGCAUCUUCUUAGGAGUCAAUAUGUUUGAUGUAAGAUUUAACCUUAGCAGCUGGUAAAUUCCAGUAGAGAAAAGAAGCUGUUGGUGAGCUCUCCUCUAAGUCUCUGAAGGAGCAUGGCAUCAAGGUCACCACCACACAGUCCGUGCUUAAUGCUUCACUAUAGCAUUGGGUACCUUUGUUGCUGUCAGUAGAUUCCUUAACCAUGUGGCCAUAAUGAAGCAGUUGAACGAUGGACUUCACAAACAUUUUGAGGAGAUGUAUUCAUGGGGACAUGAUACAAUAAACCAGUCCACUUUUCCUAAGCCAUUCUGAAGUGCCAGGUGGUAAGGUAAAGUCCUCUUCUUCCCUGAA